rfam:Schistosoma rodhaini strain Burundi genome assembly, scaffold: SROB_scaffold0008166
AUCCAGCUGACGAGUCCCAAAUAGGAUGAUACACACAUCCUGGAU